GUAGACAUAGUUUAAUAAAAACUUUAGAUUGUGAAUCUAACAACAGAGACUAAAAGCUCUUGUCUACC
rnacentral:tRNA from 1 species